rnacentral:lncRNA from 1 species
AAUAAAAUUUCAUAUUUGUUUGCCAGUGAAUAAGAACUACGUACAGCUACAUUUGAUAGCACUAUUAAAACGAUAUUAAUUAUAUAUCUCUAUCAAUUAAUAUCCUUGUUAGGAAGAUGUCUCUAAAACCUUCUUCAUUUGCAAUAAUUCAUCUUAUAAUUAAUUUAACCACAAAACAAAAUAUUGGAAAAAAAAUCUUGACAUGCAACCUGAUUUGCAGAAUUUUAAUCACCUUACAACAAUCCAAAUACCAAAAAGUAAUCACCUUAAUAUAUCUCAGGAUAAUCUGAAUCUCGUACUCUCUUUCUCGGGAUGGUCGAGAUAAAAUAUCAUAUGGUAAGAGGGGGGUGGGGGAGGAAAUAUCAACAUUUAGACGAAUUUUUCCUUCAGGCAUAAAGCCUAUUAGCAAUCUCAAUCACCAAAAAACAGUCCCCUUUGUCCAGUUCACUUAAGCAACUUUGCUACUUUAGACGUCCAACUCCAUUUCAAUUCUCAAUCCAAUUCCAUGGUACCAUCCAUUACAU